GAUGAAGAACGCAGCGAAAUGCGAUAAGUAGUGUGAAUUGCAGAAUUCAGUGAAUCAUCGAAUCUUUGAACGCACAUUGCGCCCCUUGGUAUUCCGAGGGGCAUGCCUGUUCGAGCGUCAUUUCAACCCUCAAGCUCUGCUUGGUCUUGGGCCUGGCCGUGAUGGCCGGUCUUAAAAUCAGUGGCGGUGCCGUCGCAGGCUCCAAGCGUAGUACAUCUCUCGCUCUGGAAACUUGGCGGUGCCUGCCAGACAACCCCUAAUUGUCUCUUUCGGUUGACCUCGGAUCAGGUAGGGAUACCCGCUGAACUUAAGCAUAUCAAUAAGCGGAGGA
rnacentral:misc_RNA from 1 species